AGUUGCCAGCGAUUCGGUCGGGGACUCUAGAGAUACUGCCCCGGUUAACGGGGAGGAAGGUGGGGGAUGACGUCAAGUCCUCAUGGCCCUUAUGCCCAGGGCUACACACGUGCUACAAUGGACGGUACAAAGGGUAGCGAUGCCGCGAGGCGAAGCCAAUCCCAAAAAGCCGUCCUCAGUUCGGAUUGGAGUCUGCAACUCGACUCCAUGAAGCCGGAAUCGCUAGUAAUCGCGGAUCAGCAUGCCGCGGUGAAUACGUUCCCGGGCCUU
rnacentral:rRNA from 1 species